UAUGGUCGGCACGUCUGAUAGCAUCUCUGGCUGCUGUUGACCUUGUUUUUGGAGUAAAACACGGUGGAAGCUGAAUUAGUGAGGAUGACUCCUGCUCCUGUCAUCUCUAAGCUCCUCACACAUCUUUACCUGCACAUGAGGAAAAUCACUCCUGUAGAAUGCAGAUGCACAAUGAGGGACGUCUGCAGCAACUGAGAAAGAGUCUCACCACAUCCUGACAUGAGGAAAAAGACUUUAUUGAAGACUACAAUGAGAAAAACUAUCAGACAGCAGACGGCUGCAUUCAAAGUGAGCUCUGAACAUUUGAUCUGGAACAGGAAUUCAAUAACUGCAGCAUGAGCUUCAUUUCAGUCUGUAGCUGCUGAAUUCAUGGAUGAAUCAUCUGGCACUAGAGAGGAAGACCAUCAAACAUCCACGUCAGCUGAUGGAGGUCCAAGAGUCUCACUGAACAAACAACCUACAGAGUGAAGACCUCGAAUCUGAUUGGACGGCCUCCUAUUCAGCCACAUGUGAACAAAUGCCUCUAAGCUGAUUUGUUUUCUAAAAUAAAUCUAGUUUGAGUCCUAAUCUAUGCCUGUGUGUUUGCUUCUUUACACCGCUGUUAACAGUUUAGGCUGUUAGAUUGUUCCAGAUAAGACAAGUACAAGAUUCUUCAGAGCCGUUCUACCACGAGCCUGACAGGAAGAACUCCAACAGCUACUGAAUGUUCCUGUGGUCCCCUCAAGGCUACAGGAGGAGUCCUACGAGGACGAGCCGGUCCACCUGAUGGCGGCCAGUCGCUGCGGUUCAAAGCCAACACCGACUACGUGGACUUCUACUGGACCACAUGGAGGCCUUCAAACCGGACCAACAAGUUCAGCGACUCCCCGACUCGUGGGUCUGAGGACGCCGCCGAGCCUCGGUCCAGCUGGCCUCCUGUCUGUGGGUGUUUGAGUGCUGAGAGGUUUGUGGAUGCAUGUGAACGUUCUGUGUUGAAACAGCAGCUUUGGACUCAGUAACGCCAGGAAAAACCAAGAGCUCCUUUAUUUGUGACUUCCACUAAAAAACUGAUGAAAAUAAGUUUGCCAGG